rnacentral:rRNA from 1 species
CAGCCGCCGCGGUAAUACGGAGGGAGCUAGCGUUGUUCGGAAUUACUGGGCGUAAAGCGCACGUAGGCGGCUUUGUAAGUCAGAGGUGAAAGCCUGGAGCUCAACUCCAGAACUGCCUUUGAGACUGCAUCGCUCGAAUCCGGGAGAGGUGAGUGGAAUUCCGAGUGUAGAGGUGAAAUUCGUAGAUAUUCGGAAGAACACCAGUGGCGAAGGCGGCUCACUGGACGACUGUUGACGCUGAGGUACGAAAGCGUGGGGAGCAAACAGGAUUAGAUACCCGGGUAGUCCCUGUCUCUUAUAC